rnacentral:rRNA from 1 species
GACGAACGCUGGCGGCGUGCUUAACACAUGCAAGUCGAACGGAAAGGCCCCUUCGGGGGUCCUCGAGUGGCGAACAGGUGAGUAACACGUGAGUAACCUGCCCUUGACUUCGGGAUAACUUCAGGAAACUGGGGCUAAUACCGGAUAGGAAUCCUUGCUGCAUGGUGGGGGUUGGAAAGCUUCGGCGGUUUUGGAUGGACUCGCGGCCUAUCAGCUUGUUGGUGGGGUAGUGGCUUACCAAGGCUUUGACGGGUAGCCGGCCUGAGAGGGUGACCGGCCACAUUGGGACUGAGAUGCGGCCCAGACUCCUACGGGAGGCAGCAGUGGGGAAUAUUGAACCAUGGGCGGAGGCCUGAUGCAGCAACGCCGCGUGCGGGAUGACGGCCUUCGGGUUGUAAACCGCUUUCAGCAGGGGCGAAGCUUGUGGUGACGGUACCUGCAGAAGAAGCACCGGCUAACUACGUG